AGAGCUUAGAAACUAGAAAUGGCUGAAUAUACUAAACACUGAGAAAGUCUAAAGAAUCAGAAGAAAAAUACAAAAAAAAACCACAAAACACGAUUACAUUAAAGCUUUGUGUGUAAUUCUUUGUGUUUUAAAAGUUUGAAGUAAUCGUAGAUUCUUUGUGGGCUCAAAAUGAUAUAAAGAAAUUGAAUUUGUUGUUGUUGAUCUGCUAAAGUGCAUCUGCUUCUGCUGCUGAUCUUGUCAAUUUUUCUUUUGCUCUAAUUGCACCAGGUACUCUUUUGAACUGUGACUGGAAAUGAAGCCUGAUUGAGCUUUUUUGUGUGAAGAUCUGUAAAUCAAGCUGAAGUUAAAUGACAAACAUUAAUCCCUAUUGUUGAUUGCUGCUUGACUUUGUCAUGUUUUAUUCAUAUUUUUCUAGUCCAGAUUAUUUUGUAUACUUUAUUCCCUGAUAUUAUAUUUGGUUUUAAGUGCUGGAUUUAGACUUUGUUUGAAUAUAGUUUAUUCGGAGUGCUUUUAGACUUAGUGUAAUAUGUGUUAAUUAAGGACUGUGAAUCUUAGUCUAAUUAGUAUAACAUAUGUUAGUCUAAUGAUUUCAGAGUUGUCACUUAGUUCUGCUUUUGCUCUUGCAGGAGCAUCUUGUAUUUUAAAAGGACUUUAAAAUGGGAUUUGAGAGUUUCCUGUUGAGUCCAUGUUAUCAAAUAUAUACAUAUGUUUUGAGGUCCUCUCAGGUAUUCUGAUGAAAAACUGAAGUAAGAGUUGGUUGUGUAAAAUAGUUAGACCAAAUGUAUGAAGGGUAGUGAUGCUCCAGGGAAGAUUCAUUAAGUGUUUUAAUUUCAAUAAUGAUUAGUGAUGGGUCUUUUUUUGUUUGGGCAUGAAAUAUUCUAUUUUGGAAAUAUAGUAGAAUCCCUUAUUGGGUUUUUGUUGAAAUAAAUCUAAUAUUAGGAAUUGUAUCGUCAUUUUAGAAUAUAUGUUUGUAUUAAAAUGUGCUUUGCAUCUUAUUCAAGGAUUAUCAGCAUUUGUUCAAACCCCAAA
rnacentral:lncRNA from 1 species